rnacentral:rRNA from 1 species
UACAGAGGGGGCAAGCGUUAUUCGGAAUUAUUGGGCGUAAAGGGCGCGUAGGCGGCUUUUCAAGUGACGGGUGAAAUCCCUCGGCUUAACCGAGGAACUGCCUGUCAGACUGGAAGGCUUGAGACCGGGAGAGGUGAGUGGAAUUCCCAGUGUAGCGGUGAAAUGCGUAGAUAUUGGGAGGAACACCAAUGGCGAAGGCAGCUCACUGGGACGGCACUGACGCUGAGACGCGAAAGCGUGGGGAGCAAACAGG